rnacentral:lncRNA from 1 species
UUUUUGAUUUUCUUGAACCCCAAAACUUAUUUUGCACGGAUAAUCCCUGAUCACCGCAUUUGAACCCCAGUCGCCUGACGCGUAACGUUCUCCGAUCUUCAUUUCCAUCUCCGCCCGACGGAAACUCUUCCUCCAAUAUCGCGCUACUGGGGAGUGUUGUUGAUCCAACGUCACGAUGCUAAACUCCUCAGAGUAACAUCUUCCAACUUCC